CCCCAGAGGAACCACAGAGUUGGGAUGAGGACAGUGCAAGUGUGAGAGUGCUGGGUGUGAGGGUGCUGGGUGUGAGGGCACCAGGUGUGAGGGUGCUGGGUGUGAGGGCACCAGGUGUGAGGGUGCUGGUUGCGAGGGCACCAGGUGUGAGGGUGCUGGGUGCGAGGGCACCAGGUGAGAGGGUGCUGGGUGUGAGGGCACCACGUGUGAGGGUGCUGGGUGCGAGGGCACCAGGUGUGAGGGUGCUGGUUGCGAGGGCACCAGGUGUGAGGGUGCUGGGUGCGAGGGCACCAGGUGAGAGGGUGCUGGGUGUGAGGGCACCACGUGUGAGGGUGCUGGGUGUGAGGGUGCUGGGUGUGAGGGCACCACGUGAGAGGGUGCUGGGUGUGAGGGCACCAGGUGAGAGGGUGCUGGGUGCGAGGGCACCAGGUGUGAGGGUGCUGGGUGCAUGCAAGGAUCUUGCCCAGGAGGGAAGAGAGCUUUUGAUUGACAGGAGGGAAACAUCCUCUCAGAAGUCAAGGGAUGGCCAGAGUGUAGUUAAUGUGUUGCCAAAGGAUCCUUGUGUCCUCAUGAGCUCAGAGAGUGAGGCAUGAGAACUUGAGGUAGGCCGCAGUAGUGUUGGCCGUGGUGGCCAUGCAAACAUAAUGAACAGAGUGACAAGCAGAGUGGAGGAUCUUUAGGACCUGGACAAGGAUCCUGAACUGGGAGCCUCUGCCACUCAUUUUUAGAGGCUCCGUAUCUUCAACAGAGAGGAAUCCCCACCAGGACAAUAACAAGGAUGGCAAGAUCAACCAUAUUUUGUAAUGUCAGUGCCAGACACUGUGUGAGGCUCACAUAGUGAUUCAUUGAUGCCUCAAAAUAAAUCUUGUAGGCUAAACAUUCUUACUCCGGGCUACAGCAAGGAAAAUGAACCUCCAAGAGGCUAAGGACCUGUCUGAAGUGGCAAACGGUGGAGCCCAGAUGCAGCGAGUCAUGCUGAUCAUGCUGCUUCAGAGACCAUGCAGUCUUUUCUGGAGAGUCUUCUAUUUG
rnacentral:lncRNA from 1 species